rnacentral:lncRNA from 1 species
CUUCUCAUCCUUACAGACAGUCUUCUAAGUGCUGUCCUACACUUCAGACCAGAUCUGCCCUUUCUUUGGGCUCAAGUGCACAGCGUCUGCUCUGGAAGGCUUUUUAGGUAAGAGUGGAAAGUAAGGGAUGUGAGUAGAGAUGGCAAGGCAGUGCCUUGAUACCAGCAGACAAGUGAACUGGUGAUCCUGGAAGUGUGAACAGCACAUCGUCAGUGUCCACUGAUCUUAAAAUGUGGGUUUGCAUUCACACCGUGGCAGACUUAAAGCUGAUUUAAAGCUGGCGUUCUAAAUUGAAUCAGCAGAUCUGGGGGAACAGUGAGGAGAUUGGUUCUGUACCGUUCUGGUUCUAGGCUUUAACUUGAGUGACUUCUUUCUCUGCUUUUCACUCCACAGAAUGCACAGCCACAGUAGUUUAUAUCUCGCACUCACUGCUCUGAUCAAAAUCCCCAAGCAAUGAAUUUCACCCGCCAGGAUUCUGAUGGUUCAGGUAUCCAAACUGUGCAAGGAGAGCCUCAUGGUCUGUGCCAGCAUCUGAAAGAACAAGUCACUGAAGGAGCGAUGUCUGCAGCCUUGCUGCUUGAGGAUGGGUCCAUUGGCACUGCUGCUUGGCAUCCAUCACAUCCUGUUGCAGGUGAUCAGAAUCAUAGAAUCAUAAAGGUUGGAAAAGACUUCUGAGAUCAUCAACUCCAAUCCCACCCCCACCGUGCCCACAGUGUCCCUCAGUGCCACAUCUCCGUGGCUCCUGAACACCUUCAGGGACGGUGACCAGCCAAUGCACAGCCUGUACCAGUGCCUGACCACUCCUUGGAGGAGAAUUUGCUCCUAAUAUGUGAUCUGAACAAGCAGCCUGGGCUGCUGGCUGAAGCUGUGAGGUGUUGGCUCCUUUCUGCUGAGGAAUGCUAGGAUUGCUGUCCUGCAGCAAGGGGUCAGCUGCCUUCAGAAGUAAAGGGAACAGACAACGUAAGGGCAGCCCUACCUGAGAGCAAACACAAGGAGUGCAGACCUGAUGCUUCGCUGUCAGCUGUCCUUGAGAUGGACGAGCAAAUAUGACAGGGUAAAGGGCUCUCCACCACCUCUCUUUCCUGAGCAGGAAAAAAACAACCAAGAGCCACGCAGAGACAAAGUGACUUCCAACACAGAGCAUCACAGAAUUGCAGGGAGUAGAAUUGACCUCAAGAGAUCAAGUCCAACCCCUAUAACGUGAAAUUAUCCCAAAAGGUGCUAUCAGAAAUUUCCAACUGCUGGGAACACAGCCUGGGUGUGUGGAGCAGAACAACGUGGGCUCCUCCCCGCGUCCCUCAGCUCCUGUCCCAAACAGCGUGGGGCAGUGGGGUGCUCUGCGUGGGUCAGAUGGGGCAGAAGGGGCAGAUUGAGGGGUUCUGGGUGGGUUGGAAGGGGCAGAUUGAGGGGUUCUGUGUGGGUCAGAAGGGGCAGAUUGAGAGAUCUUGGGUGGGGCAGGAGAGGCAGAUUGAGGGGUUCUGGGUGCGGUAGAAGAGGCAGACUGAGGGGUUCUGUGUGGGGCAGAAGGAGCAGAUUGAGGGGUUCUGGGUGGGUCAGAAGGGGCAGAUUGAGGGGUUC